rnacentral:misc_RNA from 1 species
AAUUAUCAUCAGAAUCACCACCACCAACAUCAGAUGGAUAAUCCUCACCCUCUCUUGUUUGGCUUUCCUCAUCCCACUCUUCAUUUCUAGCUUGAUUCCCUCCGACACUGAACAUGCUGCCAAAGUGUGGAAAAAGCAUACUUCUCAUGCUUCCUGUAUCAGGGAGCUUUUCAUGCACACUACCAAAGAGGGUGACAAGAGGAUCCAUGAGUGGCACACUCUGGUUUGUCAUGCUUCCACGCCGAGACACAAUACCAAUAGAGCUUUGACCCGUAACAGGUUUGGCAACCCAGCUGAGACCUUGUUCAGGCCCGUAUAACUUGAUAUAAUCUUUGUCUGCAGAUAUGUCUUGGUCAUCAGUGAAAACAUUGGCUGGGCCAAUUAUGUAUUCCUCUAUUGAGGUUUCACCCCCAAUGCCAAGUCCUUCAACCAAUAAAGCCAUCUCACCAGAUACAUCUUCUCUGCCACGAAGCCUCUGCAAAACCGUCCUGGCCUCAAGCAUCCGUCCUUUACUCACAAGCCACCUUGGAGACUCAGGCAAGAAAAAUACAGUCAAAGCAAAAUAAAUGAGAGAGGGAACAGAAAGAACACCAAGCAUCAAUCUCCAACUCGGUGCCUUCAUCAAGGACAUCCCAAACACCAUACAAUAUGACAUAAACAUGCCACCAGAUCCAGU